UACAGAGGUGUCAAACGUUGUCCGGAAUUACUGGGCGUAAAGGGCGCGUAGGUUGCGCCCCAAGUCGAUGGUGAAAGCUCGCCGCUCAACGGCGAGUCGGCCACCGAUACUGGGUUGCUCGAGCACUGUAGAGGCUAAUGGAAUUCCGGGUGUAGCGGUGGAAUGCGUAGAGAUCCGGAAGAACACCGGUGGCGAAGGCGGUUAGCUGGGCAGUUGCUGACACUGAGGCGCGACAGCGUGGGGAGCAAACAGG
rnacentral:rRNA from 1 species